rnacentral:rRNA from 1 species
GACGAACGCUGGCGGCGUGCUUAACACAUGCAAGUCGAACGGAAAGGCCCUGCUUUUGUGGGGUGCUCGAGUGGCGAAAGGGUGAGUAACACGUGAGUAACCUGCCCUUGACUUUGGGAUAACUUCAGGAAACUGGGGCUAAUACCGGAUAGGAACUCCUGCUGCAUGGUGGGGGUUGGAAAGUUUCGGCGGUUGGGGAUGGACUCGCGGCUUAUCAGCUUGUUGGUGGGGUAGUGGCUUACCAAGGCUUUGACGGGUAGCCGGCCUGAGAGGGUGACCGGCCACAUUGGGCCUGAGAUACGGCCCAGACUCCUACGUGAGGCAGCGGUGGGGAAUAUUGCACAAUGGGCGGAAGCCUGAUGCAGCAACGCCGCGUGCGGGAUGACGGCCUUCGGGUUGUAAACCGCUUUCGCCUGUGACGAAGCGUGAGUGACGGUAAUGGGUAAAGAAGCACCGGCUAACUACGUG